rnacentral:rRNA from 1 species
GAUGAACGCUGGCGGCGUGCCUAAUACAUGCCAGUCGAGCGAACGGACGAGAAGCUUGCUUUUCUGAUGUUAGCGGCGGACGGGUGAGUAACACGUGGAUAACCUACCUAUAAGACUGGGAUAACUUCGGGAAACCGGAGCUAAUACCGGAUAAUAUUUUGAACCGCAUGGUUCAAAAGUGAAAGACGGUCUUGCUGUCACUUAUAGAUGGAUCCGCGCUGCAUUAGCUAGUUAGUAAGGUAACGGCUUACCAAGGCAACGAUGCAUAGCCGACCUGAGAGGGUGAUCGGCCACACUGGAACUGAGACACGGUCCAGACUCCUACGGGAGGCAGCAGUAGGGAAUCUUCCGCAAUGGGCGAAAGCCUGACGGAGCAACGCCGCGUGAGUGAUGAAGGUCUUCGGAUCGUAAAACUCUGUUAUUAGGGAAGAACAUAUGUGUAAGUAACUGUGCACAUCUUGACGGUACCUAAUCAGAAAGCCACGGCUAACUACGUG